rnacentral:rRNA from 1 species
AGCAGUAGCCGCGGGAAAACAGAGGGUGCGAGCGUUAAUCGGAUUUACUGGGCGUAAAGCGUGCGUAGGCGGCUUCUUAAGUCGGAUGUGAAAUCCCUGAGCUUAACUUAGGAAUUGCAUUCGAUACUGGGAAGCUAGAGUAUGGGAGAGGAUGGUAGAAUUCCAGGUGUAGCGGUGAAAUGCGUAGAGAUCUGGAGGAAUACCGAUGGCGAAGGCAGCCAUCUGGCCUAAUACUGACGCUGAGGUACGAAAGCAUGGGGAGCAAACAGGAUUAGAUACCCCAGUAGUCCCUGUCUCUUAUAU